rnacentral:rRNA from 1 species
AAUGAACGUUGGCGGCAUGGAUUAGGCAUGCAAGUCGGGGGAAUCCCAGCAAUGGGGGAACCGGCGUAAGGGGCAGUAAGGCAUGGGUACCUACCUUGGGGUUCGGGAUAGCCAUCAGAGAUGGUGGGUAAUACCGGAUGACGUCGUGAGACCAAAGAUUUAUCGCCCUUAGAGGGGCCCAUGUGAUAUUAGCUAGUUGGUGGGGUAACGGCCCACCAAGGCGAAGAUGUCUAGCGGGUGUGAGAGCACGACCCGCGCCACUCGCACUGAGACACUGGCGAGACACCUACGGGUGGCUGCAGUAGAGGAUCUUCGGCAAUGAGCGCAAGCUUGACCGAGCGAUGCCGCGUGAGCGAUGAAGGCCUUCGGGUUGUAAAGCUCUUUAGUGGGGGAGAAAAGCCGCAAGGUGUGAUCUAUCCCAAAAAUAAGCACGGGCUAAGUUCGUGCCAGCAGCCGCGGUAA